AGAACAUUCCCAACUACUGGACAUUUUUAUAUCUACUCUUUGAGUGUUUCGCAGCUCUCGCGGGUCUUUGCGCGUUUUUAGGUUUCCGUCAUGUCAUCAAUUCUGCAUGAUGUGCACGACUCCGGCGCUGUGCCCGUGCGGACUUCAGCUUUCGCUUCAGACCGAAUCCGGCCCGGUUGCAGUUCCAGUUUCAAGAACCUCAGCUGAAAACACAAAUUCGAAUUGCUGCAGCCUAACUGAAGGCCCCGUCUCUGGUGACCUGAGCUCAUGGUUGGCAGUCCGUUUUCUAUCAGCGAAAUACUAUCCCAAAGAAUCAAAGCAAAACCAGCUGACUUCGUCAAAAGUCGGAGCCAAGGAUCUGGAAACCACAUUGUUUUUCUGCUUUCAUUGACUGGACAAUGGCACUAGCUCAUUUUUUUUUUUCUCCUUUCUGGAGAUUGAUGCCACUUGGGCUAUGGCAGAUUUUCAAUAUUUGUUCCAGGAUGUGGCACUUCCUGGCCACAUCUUCCUCCUCCUCCCCAGGAUUGUCUAGUGAUGGAUGCCUCACCUCUUCUAAUAACUACAUCAGCAGAUCGUCCUCCAGACCUUUCCCAGCAAACCCUCUGUCUAGCAUACAAGUUCUACCCUGUCUGCACACAUCAAUGGCUCUUUUGUCUUCUGGGUUUUUUUUUCUUAAUUCAGCCAAGGACUCUAGCACUCUUCAAAGGUCAAAUGUGAAGAUCUGCUGUCUUACUCAGACAGAAAGUCUAACCAAGUGCCUAUGCUUCCCUUUUCUAUAUCAAAGCAAAAGACCCCCCAAUUUUGAGUAGGGGGGGUCAUUGUUUUAUUGUCUUGGCUCAACCCCUAAAAUGUUUGACCACCUUUGGACUUUUUCCUGAGUUUCCUUUCUGAGACUCAGGUACUCCUUGUCCAGUCUUUCCAUUUUAUUUUCUUACAAGCUAAGCUAAACUACACCGGUUAGAAACACCUUCUGGGACUUAGUUUAGUGUGUCUCCUCUCUCCUGAGGAUUGUGCAUCUCUCUCCCUGCGACUGUAUUACAAUUCUAUUGAGACAUAUAUAAUUAACAAAUGAAAAUAUGUCUAUUUUAAAUACAAAAUGUGAUGCUGUGA